rnacentral:lncRNA from 1 species
AUGGUAUUUUACAGGCUCAAAUCAAGGGGAAGCAGCUCCUCUCGCUGCUGUGGGACGGUGAGCACAGUGAUCGUGCUCCUCUCUGCGGUGGGGAAGCUCUGGCAAAGGGAUGCUCUCCAAGUGUGGUUUCUUUGCCUGUCUCCUGUUUUGGAUGCCAAAGACCUUCCUUUAUUGGAUCCACCUUUUCUGGUGGACAAUCUGGCUGUGGCUUGUCUGUCUCAGUGGAGGAUGCAGUGUCCCUUGAAGGCAGUGCUACUGCCACCCAAAAAAACAGUGAAAGGAAAGCUGUACUGUCUCCAGGACGCCAAGGACACCUCUGCAGGAGCUUGAUUACAGUGCUGGACCUGACUAACAGUGCAAAGACCAGUGCCACCUCAGGAGGUGGUUUCACAGCAUGAGCCCUGUCAGGAGGAUACAUCAGCAGUAUUGCCACUCUCACACCAUGCAUUGAACAAAGAUCCCAAAGAGCAAGGACACUUAAUGUAUAAUAUGGUUUUAAUUUCCUAUAUUUGCUUUACUGGGUAUAUGUUUUGCUUUACUGGGGCAUAUUUAGCUGUUAUUUAAACUCCUAUCUAUGAGCACAAGGCUUCAUAAUUGCUUCUUUAUUAGAAUUAUCAGUAGUAUUACUAUUAGUGAAAGUCUAGUCCACUUUAAGGACUCCAAAGAUAUUAUGGCUUUAAUAACACAUGUUGGAACCCUCAAUAAAGUUGUGAAGCCUCAUGAGGCUCUAAAAUGA